GGCGAUAUAUUUUAUAUAAAAUAUCACCCUGCAAAGGUGAAGAAACCCCAAAGUUAUCGCUU
rnacentral:tRNA from 1 species